CAGCCUUCCUGGUCCUGCCCUCUAAGUAGCUCGUUAGGGCAUUUAAGGCAGCUGUGGCAGCAUGGCUGCUUCUGCUUUUCUCUGGCUGUUCUCCGGUUGCUAAUAUUGGCUCCUCUCUGUGACUGGGUGUCCUGUUUACCUGGUCUGCUGCUAACCGAUUGGUGAUUUAAGUCCCGGCCUGCCCUUCGGUGCUGGGGAUUGUUACCCUGAGGCUGCUUGGCCAACGUGCAUUUUACCCAAGGUCUCCAUCAGCUGCUGUUUUGCCAAGAUAGAUUUUAUAUUCAAUGUGUAUGUGUUUUAUCUAGCCAGUUGUCUGGUAUUUUUAUUGUGAGCUUACUGGUGUACUGGUGACCCUUUUCUGAUUGUUAAUAUUUCUUUUAUUUCUUUGAAGUGGAACUGAGUGCUGGCUUGGUUGCGAGGCUAGACACCUUGGUGUGGUUCCCCUCACUGGUUGGUAGUGUUAAAAAGAGCACUGGGACACUUGUUUUUCACCUGUUUGCCGUGGUAGCCAUUUUAGAGUGAAUACACGUGUGGUAGGAAAGUGGUUGCACCCCUGGACACACACUCAGCUAGCCUGCCUCCCCAUUG